rnacentral:lncRNA from 1 species
GUCUUGGUUAGUUAAAAGCAAGUAUUUUUAAAUUAGAAAUGUAUUUUUUGCUGCACUAGUCUGUAACAUAGUUAAUCUUGACUAUUUACGUUGGAUUUUUUACACUAUGCCUUUUUCGAAAUGAACAUUUUAAUUCAAACAAAAAAGACAAUCAAACUAUUCAAUGAUUGAUAAACAAUAUAAAAAGUUAACAUGUGAUUAGUAAUGUUCAACGUGAUGAUUUAAAGUUUGCAUUUUGUUCA